rnacentral:rRNA from 1 species
UACAGGGAGGGCAAGCGUUGUUCGGAAUUACUGGGCGUAAAGGGUUCGUAGGUGGCUUACUAAGUCAGACGUGAAAUCCCUCAGCUUAACUGGGGAACUGCGUCUGAUACUGGAAAGCUUGAGUGCAGGAGAGGAACGCGGAAUUCCAGGUGUAGCGGUGAAAUGCGUAGAUAUCUGGAGGAACACCGGUGGCGAAGGCGGCGUUCUGGACUGUAACUGACACUGAUGAACGAAAGCCAGGGGAGCAAACGGG